GUUAUAGGAUCAAGCGACUAAGUGCACAUGGUGGAUGCCUUGGCGAUCACAGGCGAAGAAGGACGUGGUAGCCUGCGAAAAGCUGCGGGGAGCUGGCAAACGAGCUUUGAUCCGCAGAUGUCCGAAUGGGGAAACCCAGGGUAGCGAUACCCUAUCGCACACUGAAUUCAUAGGUGUGCGAGGCGAACCGGGCGAACUGAAACAUCUCAGUAGCCCGAGGAACAGAAAUCAACCGAGAUUCCGAAAGUAGCGGCGAGCGAAAUCGGAGCAGCCUUGACGAUUUAGCCGAUCCGGUAGUCGAACGCGAUGGAAAGCGCGGCCAUAGCAGGUGAUAGCCCUGUAGACGAAACCGGGUCGGUGGAACUAGGCGUCAGAUAAGUAGGGCGGGACACGUGAAAUCCUGUCUGAAGAUGGGGGGACCAUCCUCCAAGGCUAAAUACUCGUGAUCGACCGAUAGUGAACCAGUACCGUGAGGGAAAGGCGAAAAGAACCCCGGAAGGGGAGUGAAAUAGAUCCUGAAACCGUGUGCAUACAAACAGUCGGAGCCUCUUUAUGGGGUGACGGCGUACCUUUUGUAUAAUGGGUCAGCGACUUACAUUCAGUGGCAAGCUUAACCGAAUAGGGAAGGCGUAGCGAAAGCGAGUCCGAAUAGGGCGAUUCAGUCGCUGGGUGUAGACCCGAAACCAGGCGAUCUAUCCAUGGCCAGGUUGAAGGCACGGUAACACGUGCUGGAGGACCGAACCCACUAAUGUUGAAAAAUUAGGGGAUGAGCUGUGGAUAGGGGUGAAAGGCUAAACAAGCCUGGAAAUAGCUGGUUCUCUCCGAAAACUAUUUAGGUAGUGCCUCACGUAUUGCUGCCGGGGGUAGAGCACUGUUAUAGCUAGGGGGUCAUGGCGACUUACCAACCUAUGGCAAACUCCGAAUACCGGCAAGUAUGAGCGUGGGAGACAGAGCACCGGGUGCUAACGUCCGGACUCAAGAGGGAAACAACCCAGACCGCCAGCUAAGGUCCCAAACUAUGGCUAAGUGGGAAACGAAGUGGGAAGGCAUAGACAGUCAGGAGGUUGGCUUAGAAGCAGCCACCCUUUAAAGAAAGCGUAAUAGCUCACUGAUCGAGUCGUCCUGCGCGGAAGAUGUAACGGGGCUAAGCCAUAGACCGAAGCUGCGGGUGUAUAUC
rnacentral:rRNA from 1 species